rnacentral:lncRNA from 13 species
AUGUGUUCCCUAUUUAGAUCAUUACCCUGUGUGAGUGGAUUGUGUGGUAUCACACUAACUGUGGACCCUAACCAUACCACUGUUGUUAGGUGUGUGAUUGUGUGGUAUCACCCUAACCAUACCACUGUUAGGUGUGUGAUUGCGUGGUAUCACCCUAACCAUACCACUGUUGUUAGGUGUGUGAUUGUGUGGUAUCACCCUAACCAUACCACUGUUAGGUGUGUGAUUGCGUGGUAUCACCCUAGCCAUACCACUGUUAGGUGUGUGAUUGUGUGGUAUCACACUAACUGUGGACCCUAACCAUACCACUGUUGUUAGGUGUGUGAUAUCACACUAACUGUGGACCCUAACCAUACCACUGUUGUUAGGUGUGUGAUUGCGUGAGCAGUGAUCAUUCAUCCUGUCGGGCUGAGUUUUAACCUGGCCUGGUCUCACUCUGGAAUGUUCCCUAUUUCUCUCUCUGGAGAACUGCGAUUGGAUGGCAUUACACAUCCUACAGGAGCGCGUGAAGCAGUGGAGGCUGCUGAGGGGAGGACGGCUCAUAAUGGAGUGAACUGAAUGGUAUCAACUCCCUUCACACCAUUCUGGNNNNNNNNNNCGCUGCUUUGCUAUGUGAAUAAUGCGCAUUUGGUGCAGUGGAUGGAUGUGUCAAGUCCAAGAGAGGAUGGGGUGGCGGUCCAGUUGUGGAUUUCCCAUAGAAACCGAUGAUGUUGCUGAUAUUUAUGUUGUUGGCGUCAGGUGUGAAUAUGGAGGCUCGACAUUAUGUCGGUGUUUUUAGAGACGAAAGGAACAUCAUUUGAUCAAAGGACAACACAGGCAGCAAUAAGCGACAAUGUGAUUCAGAGCGUCUCUAGGCUAUGAUAAAAUACAUUAUUGUCGUUGUCUAGUUUGUGGUGGCUGCUUAUCGUGUGAUGAUAAUUAUUAUUUAAUUUACCAUAUUAAUUCAUUUAUUAUGCUAUAUUCCAUCCUUUGUGUGGAGAAAAUAUGUUUUGCCGGCCGGCAUUAUAGUUCAAGGGAUUAGGCUAUUGAUGUCAACAGUCUAUCAAUGAUAUUGCCAGCUGUAAAUUAUAUAAUCGUGAAUGAAUUCCCUAUUGGAAGCCUAUCAAUUAGGUAACAGUUUAGUGAUGAGGCCUAUAUAGGCCUAUGUGUCGUAAAGAUGUGAGACAUUUGAGAGGAGAAAGCGGGUGCAGCAACCACGUAGACCGACACAGACAUUUCACGCUGCAGCAAUUAUUCUAGGCUAACCCUGUCUUUUAUGCAUGCGACCUAUGAAUGUGCUCUCUGCCCUUUGCAUCGUGACACGCGGUAAUCACCAAUAACGAUUAACGAGACGUUUAUUCCCAGUAGUAUAAUAAUACCGUUGUAGGCCUAGUCUGUGGUUGGUGUCAUUUUAUAUAGGUCAAGGCCUGCUAUACCGAGUAAAGCUGACGUGGGCUAUAGAUUCCCCCCAACUCCACAUCAUCACCAUCUGUGAGGUUCAGAACGUCAGGGGGAUCUCACAGGUAGAAUCCCCUAAACUCGAUUGACUCCAAACAGCAAUUCAAAUGCUUCACACACAGUAUAUGCUUGCGUCCCAAAUGGCACUGGCCAAAAGUAGUGCACUAUGUAGGGAAUAGUGUCCCAUUUGGGAGGCCACUGUUAUGUUUCUACUGACUACAGUAAGCCACCGUUAUGUUUCUACUGACUACAGUAGGCCACUGUUAUGUUUCUACUGACUACAGUAAGCCACCGUUAUGUUUCUACUGACUACAGUAGGCCACUGUUAUGUUUCUACUGACUACAGUA